AAAAAUAAAGUUCUUAAAAACAAGCUAGAACAUAAUAACCCCCGUUUGAAAUACAUAGGGAUAUAAACCGCUAAUUUGUCUCUAUGUCAAAACAAGGUAUUCAAAUAAGCAUGUAAAGCGUGUUAACGAAUAUACUCGUAUACUGAACAAAUAUAUAAGGAUAUAAAUGCGCGAAUAUCAAAGAAACUGGUAUAAAAUAACUGAAAGUCAUAAUUGAAUAAAAGAAAACUCAAAAUCCUUUGAAAAUAC
rnacentral:lncRNA from 1 species